rnacentral:rRNA from 1 species
AUGAAUUUCUUAGCCUGGAACUGUCGAGGCUUGGGGUUGGACUCGACGGUUGGCGAACUCAGAGACCUGAUACGGUCAUACAACCCAGCGGUGGUUUUUCUUUCAGAAACGAAGAAGAAGGCGAGAGCUAUGGAGAAACUUAAAUGGAGUUUGGGUUUUAGAAGUGGUGUUGCGGUUGAUUGUCAAGGUUUGAGUGGAGGUUUGGCUCUUUGGUGGAGAGAUAAUGUGCAGGUUAACAUAAGGCCUUGGUGCCAAUACUUCAUAGAUGCGGAAAUGAUAUGGGAAGGAAAGACCUAUAGAUUCAUUGGUUUCUAUGGGGAGCCCAAGACGGAGUUGCGCAAGAAAUCAUGGGAUGCGAUUAGGUUCCUAAAAGCACAAGACAGAUCUUCCAUGGAUUUGUGUUGGGGACUACAAUGA